GAUCCCAUUUUAGUACCACUUUUUUGUUCUCCAGAAUUAGUGGCUAUGCUAAUGGGGUAGAACAACAUCUGUUAUCGACUGAAGGAGUAGGUGUCUCACACCUACUGCUAUAUGAUAUAACAGAACAUUUUUGU